rnacentral:rRNA from 1 species
UACGUAGGGACCGAGCGUUGUCCGGAUUCAUUGGGCGUAAAGAGCUCGUAGGCGGCCACUCAAGUCGAAUGUGAAACCUCGAGGCUUAACCUCGAGCCUGCAUUCGAUACUGGGCGGCUAGAGUCUGGUAGGGGGGAUCUGGAAUUCCUGGUGUAGCGGUGAAAAUGCGCAGAUAUCAGGAGGAACACCGGUGGCGAAGGCGGAUCUCUGGGCCUUACCUGACGCUGAGGCGCGAAAGCUAGGGGGAGCGAACAGG